rnacentral:rRNA from 1 species
GACGUAGGGUCCGAGCGUUGUCCGGAUUUACUGGGCGUAAAGCGUGCGCAGGCGGUCUGUUAAGACCGAUGUGAAAUCCCCGGGCUUAACCUGGGAACUGCAUUGGUGACUGGCAGGCUUUGAGUGUGGCAGAGGGAGGUAGAAUUCCACGUGUAGCAGUGAAAUGCGUAGAGAUGUGGAGGAAUACCGAUGGCGGAAGGCAGCCUCCUGGGCCAACACUGACGCUCAUGCACGAAAGCGUGGGGAGCAAACAGG